rnacentral:rRNA from 1 species
UACGUAGGGUGCAAGCGUUAAUCGGAAUUACUGGGCGUAAAGCGUGCGCAGGCGGUUUUGUAAGUCUGUCGUGAAAGCCCCGGGCUCAACCUGGGAAUUGCAUUGGAGACUGCAAGGCUAGAAUCUGGCAGAGGGGGGUAGAAUUCCACGUGUAGCAGUGAAAUGCGUAGAGAUGUGGAGGAACACCGAUGGCGAAGGCAGCCCCCUGGGUCAAGAUUGACGCUCAUGCACGAAAGCGUGGGGAGCGAACAGG